AUGUCUUGAACGCUGAAUUCUGUGAAAUUCAGAAACGGGGGAACCAAUCGGAGAUGUCUGCUGCGUAAACGCCGGAUGUUUCCAUGGGGUGAAUUUUUCGGCUAUUGUAUUUCAAAGCCGGGAAUAGGGCGACUCUCUCGCCCGAAUCCGACAGCUAACCUCGUAAGCGUACAGGGAGAGGCAGC
rnacentral:sRNA from 2 species